AACGGACGCUGGCGGCAUGCCUAACACAUGCAAGUCGAACGAGACCUUCGGGUCUAGUGGCGCACGGGUGCGUAACGCGUGGGAACCUGCCCUUAGGUUCGGAAUAACUCCCCGAAAGGGGUGCUAAUACCGGAUAAUGUCUUCGGACCAAAGAUCUAUCGCCUUUGGAUGGGCCCGCGUUGGAUUAGCUAGUUGGUAGGGUAAAAGCCUACCAAGGCGACGAUCCAUAGCUGGUCUGAGAGGAUGAUCAGCCACACUGGGACUGAGACACGGCCCAGACUCCUACGGGAGGCAGCAGUGGGGAAUAUUGGACAAUGGGCGAAAGCCUGAUCCAGCAAUGCCGCGUGAGUGAUGAAGGCCUUAGGGUUGUAAAGCUCUUUUACCCGGGAUGAUAAUGACAGUACCGGGAGAAUAAGCUCCGGCUAACUCCGUG
rnacentral:rRNA from 1 species